GCCAACCCCCAUCACUUCGCUCAUUGGGGAGUCGCGCGUGCAAGCGGGUGGCGUGCGGCGCGUGCUCGUCCUUUGCUUCUCUCGUUCUCCUGCUGUGUUGGUUGUUUUGUGAGGAGCAGAGUGGAUCAAUGACUGAAGGCGAGAGGGGAGCGCCUAGCUGCCGCCAUCGCUGCCGCCACCGUCCCAUCAGCAGAGCACCUCCCCUUGGCUUGUAUCUGAGGAAGGCGUAGUGAGCCGCUCCUUAUGGAAAUGUGGUGAGGCAGGCAGUAAAGACUCCCCCCCCCACCUCUGCUUCGCAUCCCCUCCCCCAAACUUCGGGACAGGACGGGAAGAAGUCGAAGUUGCCGCUCCUCGAAGGGUGGUUGGACAGAGCCCAAGCCCGGUGUAGCUUCUGAGUCGUGCUGAUAGACCAGAACAAUCAUGUUUCGGAACAGUCUCAAGAUGCUUCUUACAGGUGGUAAAUCAAACCGUAAGAACAGAUCCAGUGGUAUUCUAGACCAUGACAUAAAGCAAACUGGCAAAAUAUAAAACAUGUCUGCUGAAAUGCCAUUGUAGCUUUCCCUAUUGCAACAGAAACUCCAUCCUCAUUUAAAUUGAAAGCUUACACUGGAAAAGAUUUACGAGGUUUCUGAAGAAAUAUGUGCUAUAAGGAAAAGGAUUGCUACAGAACGAAGAGUCAAUGCUACCCCAAACUUUCAAACUGACCUUCAGAUUACAGCUGUUUAUGCUAGAAACCAAAAGAUACCAGAAGAGGAAUUAAAGGAAAUUAAAGAGGAAUUUGUUACAAUGAAAGAGAUCACCACAGAAAUAAGAAUCAGAGAUUCUUCUCUGAAUUUUAAAAGUGUCUUUCAGAUUACACCGGACUACUCUAUAAACCAAAAUACACUAAAAGAGGACUUCAUUGAGGAUACAGAGGAACUCAUUUCAUCCUACAAGCAUCUUAUCUACAGUUGUGAGGACCAGAAAAAAACAAAGAUUGAGAUUUGAACCUUUAAUGCAGUGAGGCUUCAAGAAUAAGAGAAAUGGAGGUCCAAUCCAGAUGAUAGGAAGCUUAUUACUGCCUCAAAUAACAUCACAAGCAACAAAGAGAGAUUUACCGGUUGGAAGGGAAGCGUUGUUGUGGAAACCUGCUUGGCAGGAAAAAAAAGCCUAGAAUAAGACUGAAAAGAGAAAUUUAAAAUUAUAUAUAUUGGAUAUAAGGCAUUUUAGAACUGAGUUAAGGAUUAAGUUUUUGAAUAGAAAUAAGAGAAAAUGGGUGAUUAAUGUAUGAAAAUUACUAUAUAAUGGAAUGAAGAAAAAUGAAGAGAUGUUUUAGAUUGGGAUUGAAUUAAUAAUUAAUUGAAUGUGAUUUUAAUAAGACGAUGUGUUCUCUCUGAUAAUAUGGAUGACAUUAGGUUUGAUAAUUUAAUUGGAUGAAAACAGAACCUUGUUUAAGGGACUCAAAUGAUUUAAGGUUGUUAUUAUUUUGUUAACAAAAAAAAUUGAUGGAUUGAUGGAUUGGAUAUGUAUAGGAUAGAUUAAUUUUUAUUUUAAUUGGGAGAUACUUCUGGAAGAAGAAAUAAAUAAGAUUUAUGAUGAAAUUAAAGAAUUAGGACAUAUUUAGAAGGGAUACCUGAACUGAUAAUGUGUGUAUUUGAAGUCAAAUUUAAUUAUGGUCUUGUAAUUGUACAAAGCUUUAAAACAGGUUUAGGAUUAAUAGAAAUUUAAGGUAGAAAUAGACUAGUCUAAAUAUAUAAGCUAUUUGAGGGAAAUAGAGAG